UGGAAGCAGUUUAUGAAUGGCACCGUGACGGCGCGUGGGCCGGCAUUCACGCGCAGGUGCGCUUGCACAGCUGCGGACGAGAACGCCAGAAGAAACAAUUAUUUUUGGUGUUCUAACUUUUGUUGAACUUCGUGUGUUUGAUGCGUACGUCGAAAUCUUAUUUGUUUGGAAAACGACUACUUACAAACAACCGUACAGCCGUGUUGGAUUAUAUAGCUACACCCUGGAUAAGAUCUUCAAUCAACUCAAAUCAUCAAUAAAUGGAAGACUUGGCGGUAAGCGUUUCUUUGACGUUACCGGGUGCUCAGACUAGAGACAGGAGCUCCAGCUGUGUGACUCUAGAAGGCGGCGGUACUGAGGUAGCCCAUCUCCCGCAGGCAGCCGUCGUGGAAGACCCGCCUGCACGUCCGGCAGGG